rnacentral:rRNA from 1 species
UACAGGGGGUGCAAACGUUGCUCGGAAUUAUUGGGCGUAAAGCGCACGUAGGCGGAUUGCUAAGUCAGGGGUGAAAUCCUGGAGCUCAACUCCAGAACUGCCCUUGAUACUGGCGGUCUCGAGUCCGGGAGAGGUGAGUGGAACUGCGAGUGUAGAGGUGAAAUUCGUAGAUAUUCGCAAGAACACCAGUGGCGAAGGCGGCUCACUGGCCCGGUACUGACGCUGAGGUGCGAAAGCGUGGGGAGCAAACAGG